UACGUAGGGUGCGAGCGUUAAUCGGAAUUACUGGGCGUAAAGCGUGCGCAGGCGGUUUUGUAAGCCAGAUGUGAAAGCCCCGGGCUUAACCUGGGAAUGGCAUUUGGGACUGCAAGGCUGGAGUGUGGCAGAGGAGACGUGGAAUUCCUGGUGUAGCAGUGAAAUGCGUAGAUAUCAGGAGGAACACCGGUGGCGAAGGCGGGUCUCUGGGCCGUAACUGGACGC
rnacentral:rRNA from 1 species